UUGAGAAGAAGGUCAGUUGAAUUGCAGUUGUCCACGCUGCAACACCGUGCGAAAGUAACGAACGUAUUAUCUACUUAUACAUACAUACACGUUUAAAAUGGAUUUAAAAUGUUUUAUAUAUUUGUUGAUAUUCAGUCAUUCAGUGUACCUAUCAACUUCUGCUACCAUCUACACAUUUAGAAAAUAAAUAAACUUUUUAAAAUUUUAUUGAUUAAAAGAAACGAACGUCUACAAGUACUGAAAAAUAGAGAAAGAUUAUAAAAACACGUGCCUGCUUUAUAAAUUAUAUUCUUAAGGAAAAGACGAAGGAGGAAAACAUGAUCAACAGGAAAAUCACAAUGCCUAGAGUACAAUGCAGAAAAUAAAUCUCCAUAGUAGGGUCUCGUGUAAUCUCGGGGCUAUCUAGCUAGAUUAACGUCGUGUACAUCAGUAGUAUGGUCAUCGCUGUUACGUUCGUGUCAUCGAGUUAUCACAACCUUUGACAGGUAACGCUUUUGCAAUGAAGAACUCGUACAACUUUUUCACCGUCAUAGUUGUAUUUUCAGUUACAGCAGCACACGAUUGGUCGUAUUGGGGUCAAUAUGGUAUAUAUUUCUUUCUAAUCUUAUAUAAUUCCGAACAAUUUUAUUUAUCUAUUAGAUAUGCCUAUACAUUUAAGUAGAUA